CUUCUGCAGCGGAUCUGACAUUACUGGCGUCGCGGAGGAGAAAAGCGGACUAAACUCCACCCCGCUACUCUGUAUGCUCACGAAGAGGACGUCCUAGGCGAAAGCUCACGUGGUGAUCCUUCCAAACUCCAGGAUCUGGGUAAGGACUUCCAGUGCACCACCAUCUUGACUGGAGGUGAAGAUGUACGUGUGGAUAUAAUCAACACUUUGAUGAUACCUCUCCCCAAACUGUUAGAUAACUUCCUCAGAAGUUUCAUAGAGCUAGAUAUUGAAAAUCUGGAGAGAGAUCUGGGAUUUGUGACACUCCAUAAAGAAGUGGCCAGUGGAUUGACGACUUCUCCAGCACCAUUGACUGAAGUGGUUUGUCCAGAUACGAGUGUAAAAAAGUGCCAACUCAACCACAUCCCUUUUAGACAAUCUAGAAGAAUGCCACUAGAGAGAGUGAUUGGCCCAAGGCUGCUACCCACCUGGCUUUCAUGGCUAAGGCAGGACAAGGACUCCCAGUCUCCUGCUUUCUAGGCUGGUGCCUUAACCAUCAGACCAAACUGGCUUGAGUUGAUGCCCCUAUUAGACCUUUAGAAUCACCAAAGCCAGUUUUGGAAGACAUAGAUGAUUGUUGUUUUUUUCAGCAGUUGUCAAAAGAAAAUUUCUCUGGACUUUCUACAUCAACCAGUUGAUGCCAGUUAAUUUUGUGAAAAGACUCCCGCUCACUGAUCAAAAGGUCACAUUUACAAGGGGGGCAGGAUUUUAUGCAUGUUCAGGAGUGCUGUCUGCUAGUAAUAUUUUUUUUUUUUUUUGGCCCAUUGCAGUUCGUGUAGUUUGAAAGAAUUGCAGAGUUACUGGGCAGAAUUUUUUCAGCAGCUUUUUAGUAGUUAGUUCAUAAAGAAUAAUUGUGAUUGGGCCUGUCUGUGCUGCUUCUGAUUAAUUAGGCAUUAAAAUAUUUUAAACAA